rnacentral:misc_RNA from 1 species
ACAGAAUCUACCUUAUCCCUCCUAAAACCUUUAUCAACACCUAUGCCUGGCACUCCUACCUUAUUCAAUUCCUUUUUAUCCUGCCUAUCCUUUUUAAAAUUUGAAUUUAAGUUCACUGAAUUCUUGGAAUUCUUUCACUGUGGUUUUUUGGCAAGCAUCCUGGGUCCAAAUCUAUCAACCACCUCUGCUUGCACCACUUUCAGCACCACCGUAGACUUCUCACCAUUCUUGGUCCCUUCCCUACUACAAGCCACUACUUGGUUGGCAACACGACCUUCCGGCACACCUUUCUGGACCUGGUCAGUUGGAACGCCUACCUUACCACAUUCUACAACUUCAGUAGUGAUGAGACAGGCAACUUAUGUCCAUAACAUCCAAAUGAAAAACAUGCUUGAUGCAUACCCUCGUACUCAAUCCUCUUAAUUCGACGCCGUAAGCGAAACUUGGAGAAAAGAGGUUUGGUAAGCUCAACUUCCAUACACAUGCGCACAAACUUCCCUCUAGAGGCAUUCAUAGUGUUAUUGUCCACUCAAAUAAAUCUUCCUAUUUUAUUUCCAAUAUGCAUAAAAAAGCCUUCGCAUAAUAUUUGAUUAGUAAGUUGGGAAUUCUAACCCACACCAUUGCCUUACCAAUAGUUUCACAUUUUGGAUCAAAAUUAGGCCGCCAUUCCCAAACUAUCAGAUAAUGAUUUGUUACCAUUCAUGGCUUUCCAAACAGAACAUGAUCAUUCUCCAUUUCAUUUGUGAACCUGACCAUAAAGAAACCAUUCACUAAGUCAAUCACAUCAACUAGAGAUUUCAAAGCCCAUAGUUGCUUUAACCUUUUCUGAAGGUAAGAAAAACCAAUAGAUCUACCCAAUAAUUUAACUAUAAGAGUCUUACGCCAAGGAUCUCUUAGUUGUUGUUUCUACCUUUUUGUAAUCCAAAUAAUAGGACAUUUUGGAUCAUCAUCCUCCUCAACCUCGCCCUAUCAAUGAAAUAGUUACAUCAUGAACAAACCAUCCAAUAUAAGACAAUCAAGGUAUGUAUCAGUAGUUGUAUUAUUUUUAUAUGGAAUUGUAAUAACUAAAUUUUUUAAAGUUGUAAACUUAUUUAUGUGAGAAUACUUAGAUGCAUGUGAUAUUUAUUAUAAUUGAUGGAGGGAGCUGAGCUUCCAAUUGUUGAUUUAUUUAUAUUGAGGAUUGUGAAAAUGAGCUGAACUCUUUAUAUUAUUGUUUUAUUUGUUUACAGGUGAAUAAUACUCCCCGUUGGAUAGUCCAAUUUAUGACCGCACUCUAUCCAUUUGUUUUCUCAAAAUUGGACCACUUUUGUGGGUUUUAUGAUCAUGUUAGAAAUAAUUAAGCUUACUAUGAGAGCUUUAUACUGACCUAACUCCUAGUAUCUGUCUAGCCUAGCGAUCAGGUCGUGACAAGUGCAAACACUUUGUGAUAAUAUCAAUCCAAUUUUAUGGAAAAUGAGCUUGUUGAAGAGAAUCACUAAUAAAAUCCCUGCGAAGACAAUCAUAUGUCUUAUCAAGAUCAAUCUUUAAGAGCAUCCAUCCUGAACCUGUUUUUGGGCUAUUCAUGGAAUGAAUGAUCUCUUGCAACACCACAACGUUAUCAUGGAUUUGAUGUCCUGGAAUAAAGCGCGUUUGAUUGGUCGAGAUCAACCUGGGAAGAACUUUCUUCAUGCGAUUGACCAAUGCCUUAGAAAUCAGUUUGUAGCUCACAUCACAAAGACUAAUUGGCCAAAAUUGGCUUAUUAAUUCAGGAGCACUCACCUUUGGAAUCAGGGUAACCAAAAUCUCACAAAUCCCAUGUGUUAAGUCUCCCCUAUGCAGAAAAUCUAACACAAAUUUAGUCACCAACACCCCAACUAUGCUCCAACAUCUUUGAUAAGCCAUCUGGUCCUACAGCCUUAUAAGGAUCCAUAUCCAUUAACUCUGCCUUUACCUCUACAGCAUGAAAAGGAGAAGAAAGCAUCCGAACAUCCUCUACUGUAAGUGCUGGAAAAGAAUUCACCGGCACCUUUAACACAUUGCCAAUCCCAUCUUCAGUAUGUAAAUCAUGAUAAAAAUUCAAAGUUAUAUCCAUAAGAACUUCUGAAUUAGAAAUCCAAAUCCCAUCACCAUUUUGCAAAACCAACACCUGUUUCUUCUUCCUCUUAAUAACAGCACAAGGGUGGAAUUACGCUCCCCUUCGUUAAUCCAUUGUUCUAUAGAUUUUUGCAUCCACAUAAGUUCUUCUUGGUCAAGAAGAGAAUUCAACUCUGUGCAGAGCUUUAUUUCCAAGUUAAGCAAACCCUGAUGAGGAAAUCUCUCCAAAGCCUUUUGAAUACCACUUAUUCUUGCCACAAGCCUAUGCUUUUUCUAAAAUAAAUCUCCAUAAACAUCCCUCUUCUAAACAUUAAAUGAAGCUUGCAACUGCUAUAAUGUUCUUGCCAUAGGUUCAUUCAGUUGCAAACUCUCCUUAAAAAAUUGGAGAAAAGUAGGAUGUGAGAACCAAGAUGCCUGAAAAAGAAAAGGACACUGCCCUAUCCUCAUAGCCCCUUCAUCAAUUUUAAUUAAAAGCGGACAAUGGUUAGAGAACAAUAUCUGCAAAUGAAAGAUAGUAGCUGAAGGAAACAUAAUCCACCACUCCCUAUUGCACAAAACACGAUCAAGUCGAGCUGCUUGGCAAGUAGCAGUAUUGCGCCCUCUCCACCAUGUAAACUGAGUACCAAAGAAUCCUAAAUCAAUCAAACUCAUUUGGAAUAUCCAGUCACGAAACUUACUAUGUUUGGUUAUAACAUCCGACCCUGUGCUAGUCAUUUCUUCAGGAGUAGCAAUAUUGCUAACAACCAUGGUCCCUUAUAAACCAUAGCAACAUAAGGAGAAAAGAAAACAAACCCAAUCGAAGAUUCUCUCGAGGACUACCAUACACUGUAGCAAAGUACCAAACACGACCCAACACACUCUCAACCCGACACAACACAAACUGCUAAUGAGUUCUCAACACUGAAACCAUACCUAUAGCCUCCUUCUAGAACACCUAAAUACCACCACUCAAACUAACAGCUUCCACUCGAACCCAUUCAUUAAAACCCAAAGACAUCGAAAUUUAGCUUUAACUAAACCAAAAUGUGGGGCUUUUGGCAUUGACAUAUCCUUUAGAGCUCGCAAAAUUCUCUUCCAUGCAGCUCCUUGUAUAUUCUAGAUCAAAAGAGAUCAAAACAAUCAUGCAGAAGAAAAAGAAACAAACAGUAAGACAAAACAAAGCCAUACAAAAGAGCCUCAUAGAAGGAAAGAGCUUAGAAAUUAGUAUCAUCUGCUUCUCCCACUACCUCAUGGAGAAUGGGCGAAUCCUUUGCUAUUCCAAUAGAGCCAUUCAUACCCUCACCCCCUAACACCACUGAUUGGCAAUAGAGGGUCAAUGUUCAUGUCAUCAGUAAAAACAUCAUCUCCAUUAAAACGACAUGAUCCUUCGCCUGGGUCUUGAAGCGCAACAUUAUCUUUUACAUUGCAGCACGCCACCAUUCCCACACCCAAUUUCUUAACAACAACAAUUGUGUGGGCUCCCACCACGGCUGCAUUCCUAGAGCGCAUUGACAGUGAGACUUGUGAAUCCAGAACACGAGUUGGAAGGGAGGAAAGAUCGACGGCAGAGACAUCUCCUAUUGGGUCUGCAGUCAUUGUAGGUAAUUUAGGGCGAGCCCUAUUCACAUUGACUGUAGAAGGCCAACCAUUUUGGGAUUGAAGGGACCCUUUGAUUGGGCCUAUCAUUAGCAACUCUCCCAUUAGGAGAACUGAGCAGAAGUAGGCCUAAAUUGAAAACACCAGUAAGGCCUACGUCAACUACGGGCUUAAUGACUACAUUCUCAUCCACUGGAUCACUGCCCCAAACAAGCUCCUAGACCAGUUGUAAAAAGUUGCAAACCUCGAUCCAACAACCACAGAAUCUACCUUAUCCCUCCCGGAACCUUUAUCAACACCCACACCCGACGCUCCUGCCUUAUUCAAUUCCUUUUUAUCUUGCCUUCCUUCUUAAAAUUUGAAUUUAAGUUCACCGAAUUCUUGGAAUUCUUUCACACUGGUUUCUUUGCAAGCAUCCAGGGUCCAAAUCUGUCAACCACCUCCGCUUGCACCAAUUUCGGCACCACCGUAGACUUCUUGCCAUUCUUGGUCCCUUCCCUACUG